rnacentral:lncRNA from 1 species
GAAACACUUUUACCUUUGUUUCAAAAAUGACUGCUCUGAGAGAUCCUUAUUCUCUGUGGCAGAGUUAAAUUCUUGAGUUAGACACCAUAGUCCCAGCAGAAAAAAAAUGCAAUACAUUGUGAGGGGAGAAUUAGGAGUACCUGGAUGGGACUUGUAACUUUGAGCAGACUGACUAGAGAGAAGCUGAACACAACACCCUGGGAACACCAGAGAGAGGGCCCCAAAAAGAAAGCCCAUAAGCGUGUAUUGUCACCUUUGACCACUGUAGCAAUGGCAGCAUUCAUUUUCUGUACUGCUCAUAGACAAAAUAUCUUCAAACCAUUCCUAACAUUGACAGGAAGAGGAAAGCAACUCUUCAAACAUUCAAAAACCAGUAUUUUUGUAAAGUUUUCAGUUUCAGAGCAGAGAGAAGUGCCAGAGACGGAAAAACCAGAGGUGUGUAACAAUGCCACUCAAACUCUCAGCUACCUGAGGAUUCAGAAGAUUUAUCCUGUCUUCAGUAACAAGGCCAACAAGAUUUGGUGAUCAGUGGGACCAGUGUGAAAGAAGUGGUGCCCAGAUAGGGGACAAAUCUUUCCAUAAACAGUAAUCCUUUAGAAAGUGUUCAAGUAUGGCUAUUACUUAACUUCCUGAUUGGUAGCAAUCACCACCUGCUACUUCUGCUCCACAUUGUCCAGCAUAAUGGAAGUGUUCAUUUCCCUGGCUGUGAAAAGUAAUGGGAGGGGAGUCCCUCUUCCCUGUCUAGGAAAAAAGAGCAACAGUCCCUCCUUUUCUUCUGUAACUAAUCCCAGACCACAUUUAUCCAUGAAAAUAAAAUUUUAUUUCUGAUGACA